AUCUUUUUCUCGGCCUUUUGGUAGAUAAGUUUUAGUAUCUGUUCUUAUCAGUUUAAUAUCGUUUAUGCCCCUUUAUCCGGGGACCAAAUUUUAAAAUUGUUUUUUGGGAAAUAGGGAGAUGGAAAAAAGGGCUUCUCUGUCCACUCUACGCAUCAGCCUUGAAAUGCAGCAUUCUAGGAUUGGGGCACUUCAG